rnacentral:lncRNA from 1 species
AGGGGGGGAGGAACGCCUUAGUCCCUUUUGCUCUUCUGUCAUGUAAGGUUGCAGUGGAAAAGCUCCAUCUUCUGUGCACAGAUUCCCAGCCCAUGGAUGUGGUGGGCUGACUCAGCAGUCUUCUAGAAGGUUGCAGAUGUGGUAUGACUUCAGCAUGGGGGUCAGUCACAAUUGUCUAAUCCUAUUAGUUUCCCAUGAGGGGAAAAAAAAAGUAUCACUAACUGUAUAGGAAAUGUUAGCAGGUGUUUGAUCCAUGCAGCAGAAUUUGUCCAGGGCCUUCCAGCCUUUCUCUACUGGGUUAAACUAGUAUCUGAAGAAACACAAAACACUUGCCCUUGAGUUGGGAUGGCUCCAGAAACAAUGCUCUUAGUGGGUUUUUCAAAGAUGUAGCCAAAAGCAAUUCCAGACAGGUGGAGAGGGUGGGUUUUAGAUUACUCUUUCUGCUGUUUGAAGUUCCCCUGGGAUAAAUACUAUGGAUCAACAGCAGUGCCCCUUGGCCCCUUGCUCUGAACCUUGAGUGAUCCAUUCCAAGAGCCAGCUCAGUCCAAACCAGAGCUCCCUGUCAAGAUGAUCUCUGUCUGUAAAAGUGAUCAUACAUCGAUCACAGACUAAGCAGCUUCCAGAGUAAGUCCUGUUUGUCUUUAAGAUCCUCAUGUUAAGGGCAGGAUCUCUGUGCUAUUUAUUCUGAAUCCCCAGCACCUGCUGCAGUCCUGGCCCACAGUAGGUGUCAACAUCUGCUGGAAGGAUGAAUAGAUGGAUGAAUGAAGCUAGACUGGGACUAGUUCCAGCUGUCUCCAGUCCUGCAUAUCUGGUGUUUGUGGGUGCACAGUGCUGUAGCUUAGCAAUGAGAGACAACAUGACAGAGCCCUCAAGAGUGCAGAGGCUACAAGCUUGUAGAGUGAGACACAUCUGGGUCCUAAUUUCACUCUACGACUUGUUAGUUAUGUGACUUCAGACCAGUCACUUGAUCGUUUCCUCAUGUACGAAAUGAGCAUAAUAAAAUCUACCUCAUUUGGCUAUCAGUAGAAUAAAAAUCAGAUUACUAACCUAUAAAUUAUUUAGCAAAGUCCCUAGCACAUAGUAAGCAAUGAACAAAUGGGCCAUCUGGGAUUCUAUGCAUCUCUACCCCAGAUGCUCUAGGUCCAGAGAUCACACACCACUGUUUCUAGAGGGGGUAGCUUUGGGAAUCCUGAAGUCAGCUAGUGUAGUUGCUGUGCUCAACAUUACCCUGGCAGGCAAGUAGGGCUGUGAAUAAUGAGUGAAAGGCUCUGAGGACACAUGUGUGGGGACAAGGUAAGGGCAAGGUAUGAUGAGGUCACACUGAGCCGGUAACAGACCUGCCGGAUUCUCAGGAUAAGAGUUAUGGUUGAAUUCAUAGAAGAUGAGGUGUGGAAGGGAACUUCAUCUGGGUCUACUCUGGGCCUUAAUUUGAUGGGUCUUCCUCAUCAAUCAAGGCAUGUUUCUGCUCUGUAGGGAUGGUCCUUCUCUGCCAAAUGACUUUAUGGGACCAUUGUGACUGUUAAAUUUGAUUCAGGCAAGAUGCACCACUGAGCAAAUUUUAUUGUGAGUUCUCUGUGCCACGAACUCCUACAAUCUGUCAUCUGAGAAAGCCCCAGAAUACUGAGACAGGAGCCAGGCUCUGCCCUGUAAGCCAGGUGAGUGAUGAUUCUGUUUGUAAAAUUUUAGUUGCUCAGCAAUGACUGAUGGUGCUGCAGGUGAUUCUUGAAUUAUACUUUUGGUAAUCAGUUAUUCACUUUACAAACAUUUAUUUCUCUUCUUUGCUUUUCUUCUAGGUGAAACCAUCACUGCAAGAGACUAUAUUUAGGCCCACAGUGUGUCAGAAGGAUGACAUGUUCUAUACAACCUUUUCACCCUGUCUGCUUCUAUAUAUACAAGCGCCUCUGUAUAUGAAUUCCUGGAGGUUCUGUGACUUUUUAAAUAUUCCCCAGAGCUACCUUUGAAAACUGUGAGGUCACUUGGAUAGAAGCAGGAUUCAAAUGCAGAGUGUGAACACUCAAGAAGAGAUGCAGACUACAGUAGUUGCUAGCAUCUUUGAGCAUUAACUAUUCUCACUCAGAAUAUGGAGUAUUUAGAUAGCAGCUCCUGGAGGAGCCAGGAGGUUUUAGCAACAGAGUUGCCAGUUUACAUUUUAAUAACCAUGGGACAAGUCACCCUCUUCUUCCUGCAGUCUAUAACUCUGACUGCUCAGUGGACUUCCUGGGAACAAAUACAGCUGGAGGAGAUCAAACCCCAGUGUUGCUGGUAUGCGGGGCACAAGCUGCCCAGUGCCCCUCUUUCUCUGAGGAGCCAAUGAGGUGUUGGUGGUGUUGAGCUCUGAACUAGAGGUCAGGAUAUUUUGGUUGCUAAUUCUAGCUCUGCCACUUCCCUGCCAGGUGACUUCGUUGUAUCAGGUGACUGUAUGAGGCCUGCUGCUUCCCUGUGAACAGAAUAAGGGCUGUCCUUGGCGUUACUCUCAGCUCCAGAGUUCUAGAAGACUGAAUUAGCUUUGUCAUCCCAAAUUCUGGAAAUAAGCAGUGAAUGUUUAGAUGAUUAUAUACUUGGGAACUUUGUGUAGAGGUCCCAGACAUUUGGUAUUGGGUGGCAAAAUCUCAGAGCUAUGAAGUUUCACUCAAGUGCAAAGUCCCCAGAACUACUCACUUGUACAAUUUCUCUAAUGUGAAAUUCUUUGACAGAUAAUUUUAUCAUGUUGGAGGACAAUGACUUUUAUUAAACAAGUACUCUUUGAAAUCUAUUAGCACAC